UACAGAGGGGGCAAGCGUUAUUCGGAAUUAUUGGGCGUAAAGGGCGCGUAGGCGGCCUGGCAAGUGGAAGGUGAAAUCCCUCGGCUUAACCGAGGAACUGCCCUCCAAACUGCUUGGCUUGAGUCCGGGAGAGGUGAGUGGAAUUCCAAGUGUAGCGGUGAAAUGCGUAGAGAUUUGGAGGAACACCAGUGGCGAAGGCGACUUUCUGGUCUGUAACUGACACUGAGGCGCGAAAGCGUGGGGAGCGAACAGG
rnacentral:rRNA from 1 species